AAAGCGCGCGUAGGUGGUUUGGUAAGUCAGAUGUGAAAGCCCCGGGCUCAACCUGGGAAUUGCAUUUGAUACUGCCAGGCUAGAGUAUGAUAGAGGAAAGCGGAAUUCCAGGUGUAGCGGUGAAAUGCGUAGAUAUCUGGAGGAACAUCAGUGGCGAAGGCGGCUUUCUGGCCAAACAUUGACGCUGAGGUGCGAAAGCGUGGGGAGCGAACAGGAUUAGAUACCCUGGUAGUCCACGCCGUAAACGAUGAGAACUAGAUGUUGGGGGCAACUUGGCCUUCAGUGUCGCAGCUAACGCAUUAAGUUCUCCGCCUGGGGAGUACGGCCGCAAGGCUAAAACUCAAAGGAAUUGACGGGGGCUCACACAAGCGGUGGAGCAUGUUGCUUAAUUCGAAGCAACGCGAAGAACCUUACCUGGGUUUGACAUGCAUGGAUUAGUUUCUGGAAACAGGAAUGACGCCUUCGGGUGGAACAUGCACAGGUGCUGCAUGGCUGUCGUCAGCUCGUGCUGUGAAGUGUCGGGUUAAGUCCCUUAACGAGCGCAACCCCUAUCGCUAGUUGCCAGCACUUCGGGUGGGGACUCUAGCGAGACUGCCGGUGUUAAACCGGAGGAAGGUGGGGAUGACGUCAAGUCCUCAUGGCCUUUAUAUCCAGGGUUGCAAACGUGCUACAAUGGCGCGUACAGAGCGAUGCGAUGUCGCGAGGCGGAGCAAAUCGCAAAAAGCGCGCCCCAGUUCGGAUUGGAGUCUGCAACUCGACUCCAUGAAGUCGGAAUCGCUAGUAAUCGGAGAUCAGCUACGCUCCGGUGAAUACGUUCCUGAGCCUUGUACACACCGCCCGUCAAGUCAUGGAAGCCGGGAGCGCCC
rnacentral:rRNA from 1 species